GAGGGGUGGCAGAGUGGUUGAAUGCGGCGGUCUCGAAAACCGUUUGGCCUGAUAAGGUCACGAGGGUUCGAAUCCCUCCUCCUCC
rnacentral:tRNA from 1 species